ACCCCCCUGUCUCUCUGUCCUCCCUCUCCUUCCUGGGCUUCUUCCUGCCUUCUCACUGUCAAGCUGCUGAAGUCUUCAAACAAGGAAACUCAGGAAGGUGUACACUUGCAUUUCAGAAGCUGCAGGAGCAAAAGUUAAACUGUCAUGGCAGUUCCCCUCUGAGUCAGCUGGUUCCACAUCAAAAUCUUCUCUCCGGAUAGUCAACACCAGUCCGAAGCCCUCCUGCAGCCGAAUCUGGUAUUCACACCUUGAGUUCUCCAGUGUGCAGGUUGGACCAAGGGACGACAUGCUAAAGCCAACAUGUAGAUCAGAAAACUCUUUAGAAAAGUGUUCCGAGUCCACCACUUCAGAGGACUGACUAUCAGGAAAUAAAGUAAGGUUCAUGCCUAGAACCUCAGCAUUUCAGUUUUGGAGGCAAGAGGAUCUCAAGAAUUCAAGGUCAUCCUUGGCUCUACAGAUAGUUCAAGGCCAGCCUGGACUAUAUGCCUGCCCUCAAAAAAAAAACCACAAAAGCAAGGCUUUGCUGAUGGCUCAGCAGAUAAGAGUGCACAAGCAUGAGGAUGGGAGUUCAAGUCCCCAGCACCCAUAAACUUGCUGCUGCUAUGAUAACCUGCACAAGGUCAGGGUAGCAUGCUUGAUCAACAUUCUAAUAGAGGGUACUAGUUAGACUCAGUGGCAUGGGGGGGGGAGAGAGAGAGAGAGAGAGAGAGAGAGAGAGAGAGAGAGAGAGAAGAAGGAGGAGGAGGAGGAGGAGAAGCAGCGGCAGCAGCAAGUGAUAGGGGG
ensembl:lncRNA AABR07062026.1